rnacentral:rRNA from 1 species
ACUCCUACGGGAGGCAGCAGUAGGGAAUAUUGGGCAAUGGACGCAAGUCUGACCCAGCCAUGCCGCGUGCAGGAUGAAGGCGUUAUGCGUUGUAAACUGCUUUUAUACAGGAAGAAACGACUCUUGCGAGAGGCAUUGACGGUACUGUAUGAAUAAGCACCGGCUAACUCCGUGCCAGCAGCCGCGGUAAUAC